rnacentral:rRNA from 1 species
UACGAAGGGGGCUAGCGUUGUUCGGAAUUACUGGGCGUAAAGCGCGCGCAGGCGGUCUUCCAAGUCAGUGGUGAAAGCCCGGAGCUCAACUCCGGAACUGCCAUUGAAACUGUGAGACUUGAGUAUGAGAGAGGUGAGUGGAAUUCCCAGUGUAGAGGUGAAAUUCGUAGAUAUUGGGAAGAACACCGGUGGCGAAGGCGGCUCACUGGCUCAUUACUGACGCUCAGGCGCGAUAGCGUGGGGAUCAAACGGG